GACAGAUGAAGUUAUGCCGCUGUACGUAAAGAUACGUGCAAACACUCACAACCAAGAAGAAAACAGAACUGUUCAUGAAAAACGCAAGUAUUAAAAGCUGGUUCGGGUCAUGUCAGGAGCUAACCGAACAUUGGGCUAAUCCGACGUCUCAUUAGCGCCCCUCCAUGGAUCCGGCGCGGACACGUUUCAUUUGGCAGGUGGUCAUGUGUUGAAAGCUGUGACUCGCAGUGAGCAGGUUGAACCGCGGCAGGGUUGAAUGAGUUGGCAGCCGGACCGGAGGCCGAGAGGAGGUCUUUGUGGUCAGGGGGAGAG